AGCAGCCGCGGUAAUUCCAGCUCCAAUAGCGUAUAUUAAAGUUGUUGCAGUUAAAAAGCUCGUAGUUGAAUUUCGGGAUUGACACAUCGGUCGUGCCUUAAGGGGUAUGAACUGGUGUAGUCAAUUUCUCACCUUCUGGAGAACCGCGAUGCCCUUAAUUGGGUGUCGCGGGGAACCAGGACCUUUACUUUGAAAAAUUAGAGUGUUUAAAGCAGGCAUUUUGCUUGAAUACAUUAGCAUGGAAUAAUAAAAUAGGACGGCAUGAUUCUAUUUUGUUGGUUUCUAGGAUCACCGUAAUGAUUAGUAGGGAUAGUUGGGGGCAUUAGUAUUCAAUUGUCAGAGGUGAAAUUCUUGGAUUUAUUGAAGACUAACUACUGCGAAAGCAUUUGCCAAGGAUGUUUUCAUUAAUCAAGAACGAAAGUUAGGGGAUCGAAGACGAUCAGGUACCGU
rnacentral:rRNA from 1 species